GGAGAGAUGGCCGAGCGGCCGAAGGCGCACGAUUGGAAGUCGUGUGAGCCCCUAAAGGGCUCCGUGGGUUCAAAUCCCACUCUCUCCG
rnacentral:tRNA from 1 species